GACGAACGCUGGCGGCGUGCUUAACACAUGCAAGUCGAACGGAAAGGCCCUGCUUGCAGGGUACUCGAGUGGCGAACGGGUGAGUAACACGUGGGUGUUCUGCCCUCCACUUCGGGAUAAGCCUGGGAAACUGGGUCUAAUACCGGAUAGGAGCCAUCUUUAGUGUGAUGGUUGGAAAGUUUUUUGGGUGUAGGAUGAGCUCGCGGGCUAUCAGGUUGUUGGUGGGGUAAUGGCCUACCAACGCGGCGACGGGUAGCCGGCCUGGGAGGGUGGACGGCCAACAUGGGGCUGGGGAACGGGCCAGGCCCCUACGGGAGGCAGCAGUGGGGAAUAUUGCACAAUGGGCGCAAGCCUGGUGCAGCGACGCCGCGUGGGGGAUGACGGCCUUCGGGUUGUAAACUCCUUUCGCUAGGGACGAAGCUUUUUGUGACGGUACCUAGAUAAGAAGCACCGGCUAACUACGUG
rnacentral:rRNA from 1 species